CUGCUGCUCUGCCUGCUUCCUCUCCUCUGCCUGACUCAGGAGGAAACCUUCGGCCAGGGCCACCGCCUGGGAACUGGUCUCCACUCCGCAUUCCCUCACCCAGUUCUCCAUCUCCAGAGGAAGGACAGCCAGGAACUGCUCCAAGAUCACCAGGUCCAACAUCUGAGCUUUCGUGUGCCUUUCCGGCUUCAGCCACUGAUGGUCAAGGUGGUAGAGUUGGCUGCAAACCUCUCGGG
rnacentral:lncRNA from 1 species